GGGGUGUGGAAAUAUUUGUUGUGAGCACUUGUCCCCGGGCAAGUAAAACCUAAAAUUUAACUUGUCCGGAAAAAAAUUUACUUGCCCUGAUGAUCCCAAUAAAUAUUGAAGUAUUUCUUGUUAGCUAAUAUAUGAUUCUUACUUAGCACUAUUGUGCAUCACAAACAAAUGAAAUCUAUUUGUUUAUAUGUGUAAAAAAUUUGGAAAGUAGGAAAUGGGUUAACAUCAAUGGGACAGAAACCUAACAGCAAACCAACCAAUGAAAUGACAUGUAAACAUGUUAAGGACAAUUUUGCAGCAGUUUUGGAAUAAAAAUUGUAGCCAGUAGGUACAUAAUAUACUAAAUUUGAGGACAGUGAUUGAAGAAAUGUAAACUAAAUAAUAGAUAACUAUUGAUUUUGUGGUGUUUCUCUCAACUGACACACUUGUUUUUUUUCUUGAUUAUUUAUUAUUGUCUUGAUGGGCAAUUAAAGCGUCCCUUUUAUUUUCAACUUUGACAACAAAUAAUGUUGACCUUUCAUCUAUAAAUAAGACUUCAUCUAUAAAUAAGACAAAAACUUAAUUUAUUUUCCGAAUUUCCAUAGAUAGCCAGGAGCAAUCUGAUAUCCACGAUGUCUGAAAUUCUCGCUUCCGUUUUUUUUUUUUUUUUUUUUUAAUACUCUGUGUCCUCCGUUUGCAUUUAAGGUUUUCUACUCGACUCAUGAUUCUUUUUGUCUUGCUUGCCCAGCUUUUUAUUAAGUAUUUGUCAAUCUGAAUCUCGAUACAAAAUUUAAAGAAAUGACACUUCCGGUAAAUGAUGGAUAAAACUUAAUCGACGAUCCCGGGUCAAUGGACAAAGCCAAUGCAAUGUUACGCGACUCUGGGUUCGCAUACUUAUUUUUAUUUAUUUUGGUAAUCGAUCUAUUUCCGGUAUCAUGUAAUAUUUAUCGUCAUGAACAUUGAUGUUUUUACUUGCUGAACAUUGGUUUCUUUUACAUAAAUUAAACAUCUUUAUACGUUUUGAAAUUAAUUUUAUGUUUUUGUUGGAUUUGAACUUUGUCUUGUAUAUUUUUUUACUUGUCCACGGGCAACCAAGACAAAAAUAAUUACUUGUCCGGUUGUUCAAAUGUACGAGUCGGGCGAGUCGGGCAUAGCAUUUCCACACCCCUGUUGUAGGUGCUUUAAAUCUAAA
rnacentral:lncRNA from 1 species